rnacentral:rRNA from 1 species
ACGGGAGGCAGCAGUGGGGAAUAUUGCACAAUGGGCGCAAGCCUGAUGCAGCGAUGCCGCGUGUGGGAAGAAGGUUUUCGGAUUGUAAACCUCUGUCAUCGGGGACGAUAAUGACUGUACCCGAGAAGGAAGCUCCGGCUAACUACGUGCCAGCAGCCGCGGUAAUACGUAGGUGGCGAGCGUUAUCCGGAAUUACUGGGUGUAAAGGGAGUGUAGGCGGGACUGUAAGUCAGAUGUGAAAUAUGCCGGCUUAACUGGCAGAUUGCAUUUGAAACUGUGGUUCUUGAGUGAAGUAGAGGUAAGCGGAAUUCCAUGUGUAGCGGUGAAAUGCGUAGAUAUAAGGAGGAACAUCAGUGGCGAAGGCGGCUUACUGGGCUUUAACUGACGCUGAGGCUCGAAAGCGUGGGGAGCAAACAGGAUUAGAUACCCUGGUA